UAGCAGUUCUCAUGGUUUAUCUUCAGAUUUUUUAACUUGUUUUGUUAACGCGCUCUCUUUGUUUGCUUGUUUGCCACUAACGCCAGAGAAAGUCACACGGGUGCAAUGUUGUGUUUGCCUUUUUUAAGAUGCCAGGAGAAAAAUGCCUCUACCUGCAAGAAAGGCGCACGAUGGCACUUGGGAUGGCAGUCCUCCGCCGGCACCGGAUCACUGGAGGCAAACAUCGAAUUAAUUGGAUCUCAAUGACUGAGGUAUCUGAGGAAGAAGAAGGUGACGUGACGAGAAACGCCUGACAGCCAAAGUGGGGAACUGUCCAGAAGAAGGAUCCGUGAUGAAUGAGGUCUGCGUGGUCGUGAUGCAAAAGCAGAACAGGACAGUGUGCUGGCACCAAAUGCGGUUUUUUGUUCGCUAGAACCAAAAAGAAAAAGGGGGGGGGUGAAGGGGGAAGGGAGAGGGGUGGCAGUGGGGGUUGGGAGGGAGAGAUCGGAGGAGUUAGUGGCUGUCUGGAGUGUAAACAUGAGUCCAUCAUCUCCUCGGGAGAAAGGGAGGCUGCGUUCGUCAAACGCACUAGAGCCUAGACGAGAGGCAGAGGCGCCACCAGACCGCUCCGAGAUGCCGCCGUGAAAUCUGGAUCCAAGAUGAUUCGAAGGACAGUACUUUACAAAAUAAUCAGUCCCGAAAUCUCCCAGGCAGAUGUCCGAGGUUAAGCCAGGCUCUGUGAUAUUUGCCGUACAAUCCUAGGGAACAAGAACUGCCCCGGGGCAGGGGACGGGAUGGAGGCGGGGGGGGGGGGGGCGGGGGGGGGGGGGGGGAGUGGAAGAGACCGAAUGGCAUUAAAAAACCCACUAGAAUUGCAAACAUUAUUUAAUUCCUUGGGUAACUUCGUUCACAGUCUUCCUCGGGCUUGGCGGGGAAGUCUUGGGUGGCCGAGCCUGUAACUUCUUGCAUUGUUUUCGACCGUGCACUGUGUUGCCAUAAUGCCAAUAAACGCUUCAAACGCGACUUACUAGCGGCCAGCAGAUGCUCCUGCCUCUCAGGCCCGGACUAAACGAGCUCUGUCCCGGGCCGGGGCUGCGGGGUCGCUCCCUGCCUUCGGGUGCGCUUCGUGCUCUGGGAAAAUGUGGAUGGAUGGACGGGGGGCUGUUUGCACCGGCUGCUGGGUUUUCUUUCCUUGGAGGGGCCAAUCUUGGCUUGCAAGGGGUCGCAGAGGCUCGCUUCGUUUCAGCGGGGUCAGGAUAUCAGGACUUAAAGUUCAGCGGCCAGAGACACCCCUGCCAGAAUUUUGUCGGACUUAGUGCCUGUUUACGAGGAGAAGCAGCGCUCCCAGGGACGAAUUCCCUGGUAUGAAGCAUGGUUCGUAGCGCUCACCCUUCCAGCAAAUGCCAGCAGAUGGAUGCAAUUAAACCUCGGCGGUCCUCCGACGCCGGACACUGAUACAGGGUGUGAGAGGGUUGGCCAUUAUACAGUGCCUCUGCUCUAGUAUUCGCCCCCGGCAGCUGCAACAGAGAGGAGAAACGAAA